rnacentral:rRNA from 1 species
GACGAACGCUGGCGGCGUGCUUAACACAUGCAAGUCGAACGGAAAGGCCCUGCUUGCAGGGUGCUCGAGUGGCGAACGGGUGAGUAACACGUGGGUGAUCUGCCCCUUACUUUGGGAUAAGCCCGGGAAACUGGGUCUAAUACUGGAUAGGACCAUGCUGUAGGUGGUGUGGUGGAAAGAUUAGUUUCGGUAAGGGAUGAGCUCGCGGCCUAUCAGCUUGUUGGUGGGGUAAUGGCCUACCAAGGCGUCGACGGGUAGCCGGCCUGAGAGGGUGGACGGCCACAUUGGGACUGAGAUACGGCCCAGACUCCUACGGGAGGCAGCAGUGGGGAAUAUUGCACAAUGGGCGCAAGCCUGAUGCAGCGACGCCGCGUGGGGGAUGACGGCCUUCGGGUUGUAAACUCCUUGCAGCCAUGACGAAGCCCUUGUGGUGACGGUAGUGGUAGAAGAAGCACCGGCUAACUACGUG